rnacentral:rRNA from 1 species
UGCAAGUCGACGAUGAUCCGGUGCUUGCACCGGGGAUUAGUGGCGAACGGGUGAGUAACACGUGAGUAACCUGCCCUUAACUCUGGGAUAAGCCUGGGAAACUGGGUCUAAUACCGGAUAUGACUCCUCAUCGCAUGGUGGGGGGUGGAAAGCUUUAUUGUGGUUUUGGAUGGACUCGCGGCCUAUCAGCUUGUUGGUGAGGUAAUGGCUUACCAAGGCGACAACGGGUAGCCGGCCUGAGAGGGUGACCGGCCACACUGGGACUGAGACACGGCCCAAACUCCUACGGGAGGCAGCAGUGGGGAAUAUUGCACAAUGGGCGCAAGCCUGAUGCAGCGACGCCGCGUGAGGGAUGACGGCCUUCGGGUUGUAAACCUCUUUCAGUAGGGAAGAAGCGAAAGUGACGGUACCUGCAAAAAAAGCGCCGGCUAACUACGUGCCAGCAGCCGCGGUAAUACGUAGGGCGCAAGCGUUAUCCGGAAUUAUUGGGCGUAAAGAGCUCGUAGGCGGUUUGUCGCGUCUGCCGUGAAAGUCCGGGGCUCAACUCCGGAUCUGCGGUGGGUACGGGCAGACUAGAGUGAUGUAGGGGAGACUGGAAUUCCUGGUGUAGCGGUGAAAUGCGCAAAUAUCAGGAGGAACACCGAUGGCGAAGGCAGGUCUCUGGGCAUUAACUGACGCUGAGGAGCGAAAGCAU